CAUAUAAUUUGUAUAUAAUCAGUAUAUAAUUUUUUAAUUUGUAUAUAAUCCGUAUAUAAUACAGAUUGUAUACAAUUAAAAAAAUCAGAUCUGAAAUCAUCAUAAACGCCCGACCAAAAUCCAACUCCAAUUCACCAAACCUCGCCGGAAACAAGACCGUAAAAACAUUUCACAUUUUCCGAUCUAACUCACCUUCAUUCUUCCAUUACAAAAACGAAGUAAUACUUCUUCACAGAUUGAUGUAUAAUAAGAGUUGAAUUCUUGAAAUUUUAAUUCCAAAAAAGAAAAAAUGGUGGUUCCAGUUCAAGGAACAUUGCAGCUCUUUCCACAUUCUCUUUAAAGGAUGAUCAACUGGACAUUCAAGGAUCAGUGGCUCUUGUUUCAAGUGAAAGAGCAGCUACAGUGGCGGCGUACAGAGCGGCGACGAAGGCGGCGCGACCAGAUAUGCUUGUGGUCGUUCUCCGAUCUGCUGAUGCCGUGAUUUUUAGGAGAGUUGUUGCUGUUUUUUUUUUUGGAGAAGAAGCCGCCGGUCAGAGGUUGUUGCCACCGGUCUGGAAAGCGAAGCUGCGGCGGCGGUGGCAGUGGUGACGCGAUUUGAUCUCGUGGUAGUAUGGUUUGGAAGAUAAUUAGUGGUGGUUGUUAAUGGAAGAAUAAAAGUAAAACAAAAUUAGGAUUUCAAGAGAUGAAGAAGAGAGAAAAUAUAAUUAGGGUUUGGGUCGAGAAGAUGAAGAAAAGGAGGAAAUGAUAUCUUUGUUAAUGAAAGAGAUAAGAUGUUAUUUUUGGAAAUAUAAAAAAUACUUUUGUAAAGAGAAAAAUAAGGUAGUAUGUAAAUAUUUUACCUUAUUUUGUUAUAGAGUGUAAAUUUUCUUACUAAUUAUAGUGUUAUAGUUUGUGCGUAAAGUAUCAGCCAUUAAUUAUAGAAGAAAAAAUUACGUUGA